UAUUAUUUAUAUAUUUGACCUCAUUGUAAAGGUAAGUAACAAUAUUACACACUGUAGCAUGUACAUCAUGUACAGGUUGUAAGCUCUUGAACAUGUAUUUAAUUUAUAUAAUGAAUAUUGAGAUGUUGUGCUUGUCACUUUUUAGUUAACCAGUAACAUAACAAAAACAAUCACAAAUAACAUUACAGAAGAAGAUGAAAUAUGUCAUGAUUAUACUUCUAAAGAGACUGCUUUCAUACAUCAUAUAAAUUCAUAGAAUUAUUUCCCUUGAAAAAAAUGCAUGUUGAUAUUUUUUAAUAUAGGAAGAGACAUAAACUUUUAAUAACUAAUAUGUGGAAAACAUUCAUCUAUUUUGGUGGAUUUAACAUAUUAUAUGGACAAUGACUUUAUAGGCUGUUCUCUGUAGGAUUAAGAACAGUUAUUGUUUUUUUUAUAAUUUAAAGCAAGCAUGCAUACUUUAAUGUAUAACUGCUGUUUUCUUUUCUCAUCACAACUGUAGAAUACAUGCAAAUGGUGUUGUGUUCAUUAAAAAAAUGUGUAAAAGAGUGGCCAAAGAUACCAAAGGCACCUUCAAUCUCAUAAGUAAAAAAACAAAGAAAAAGCCAAGGCUAAAAAAGAAACAGAUAAACAGAUAAACAGACAAACAACACACACUAAAUACAACAUAGAAAAAUAAAGACUGAGACACACAUAACCCACCAAAAACUGGGGGUGAUCUCAGGUGCUCUGGAAGGGUAAGCAGAUCCAACAUUAACCCAAUCAUUGAAUAUGUUGAAUAAGUACAUGAAUGAAAAUUAUCAUGGUCUAAUAUAUUUCAAGGGAGAUAAUUGAAUUAACAUUAUUAGUUAAACAUUAAAAUAUGAAUGAUCUGUUCGUUGUUAAACACUUCAUGCAUCAACAUUAUCAUGGUCUAAAAUAUUUCAAGGGAGAUAAUUUAACUAACUUACUUAAACAUUGAAAUAUAAAUGAUUUGUUCAUUGGUGAAGACUCUACCUGGACUGUCAACAUGGACAACACGAAUAAAAGCCCUGUUUUAAUUGAUAAAUUGUUUUUUUAUACAUUUUGGUGAAAUUUGUCACAUGUACAUUUACUAAAUAUCCAUUUAUUUUAUAUUCUUUAAUUCAUAUAGAGAGAAGAAGAAUUAUUUAUAUAUAUAACCUGUAAACAUAGAAGUAUGUUAAAUUGAGACACCAAGCUCACAGAAUAUUAAGGUAAGUCAGUCUUAAUGUAUUCACAUAUAUGAUAUAAUAUAUACUCAUAUAUAAAGUCAGUUUUUAUACACAAUUAAUUUUUUUCUUUGGGGGGGGGGGGGGGGGGGUAUAUAGGAAUUACUCUGUCCAUGUAUGUCUUUUAACCAGAACUCAAAAAAUGAACUGACACUUAUUAAACUUAACACAGUUGCAGUACACAUCCUGAGAAAGUACAUGAAUUAACUUAUCAUGGUAUAACAUAUUUCAAGACAAAUAAUUGAACUAACUUAGUUAAACCUUGAAAUAUGAAUGAUUUGUUCAUUGUUGAAGACGACAUGGACUAACAAUAUCAUGGUCUAAAAUAUUUCAAGGGAGAUAAUUGAACUAACUAAGCUAAACAUUGAAAUAUGAAUGAUUUGUUCAUUGUUGAAGACUAAAUGGACUAAAUAUGUCUAAACAUAAUGAAUGAUUUGUUUAACUGAAAUUGAAUAUGUCAAAGCGACAACCACCGACCAUAGAGCAAACAACAGCCGAAGGCAACCAAUGGUCUUCAAUGUAGCGAGAAUUCCGCACCCGUAGGUGUCCUUUAUGGCCCCUAAAAUACAUAAUAGUACAGUGAUAAUGGACGUCAUACUAAAUCCAAUUAUACACAAGAAACUAAAAUUAAAAUCAUACAAGACUAACAAAGGCCAAGGCUCCUGACUUGGGACAGGCGCAAAAUUGCGGCUUAAACAUGUUUUGAGAUCUCAAUAUACUCUACAAUGUAGAAAAGUAAAAGAUAACAAUACACAUUAAAAUUGUUCAGAGAAGUCAAUGUCAAAAGAUGAAUAAAUAAAAUGCCAGACUACUCAGUUAACUGACAUCAGAACAACAUAAAUAAAAUCAUUGAUAACUUUUUUUUGUAUGCAUUUAUUUUGGUGCAAUUUUGUCACAUGUGCAAUUACUAAAUAUCCAUUUAUUUUAUAUCCUUUGAUUUAUAUAGAGAGAAGAUUUUUUAUAUAUAACCUGUAAACAUAGAAGUAUGUUACAUUGAAAAAACAAGGUCAAAGAAUAUUAAG
rnacentral:lncRNA from 1 species